GCCGGGGUGGCGGAACUGGUAGACGCAACGGACUUAAAAUCCGUAGGGUCUUAAUUGACUCAUGCGGGUUCGAUUCCCGCCCUCGGCA
rnacentral:tRNA from 1 species